AGAGCUGCACCUGCAGCAUAUGGAGGUUCCCAGGCUGAGGGUCAUAUCAGAGCUACAGCUAAUGACCUAUGCCACAGCCUUACCAAUCAAUGCAGGAUCCCAGCCGCAUCUGUGACCCACACCACAGCUCAUGGCAAUGCCGGAUCCUUAACCCACUGAGCUGGGCCAGGGAUCAAAACCGCCUCCUCAUGGAUCGUAGUCAGAUUUGUUAACUGCUGAGCCUUGAAGGGAACUCCCUGUUUUUACUUUUAUGUAUAUGAUAUGUUAAUUAUGUUUCCCAAACUUGAAGAAGUGGUCUUCUGUAAGAGACAUCCUAUGCAACCCAGCAAUGCACUUCCUCUUGUCACUGUUCACAGUAUUGGUCCCCUCUAUGAGGGCUGUGUGGGUCUUUCUGUUGUGGUGGGAUAACCAUGUAUAUAGUUUGGUAGGCUUGUUUGACCCCUAGUCAGUUUUGUAGCCAGGUUCUUGUGUAAAGGCUGCUGGACAUUGGUUGGUGGGACAAGGUUCGUGGGACCGGGUAGCAAGGUGGCUGACUGUGGAAUCCUGGGGGGCCCUGAGACUAGUGCUGUUUUCCUGGUAGGUAGAGUCUGGGUUCUGGGGAUGAGGGAUGUUGCCUGCUCACUGGUAGGUGAAACCAGGUCCUGGGGUUAGUGCCAACCUCUGGUGGGCACAGCUGGGUCCUAGAGUCUGAUUGCAGUUUCCAGAGGUCCCAGAGCAGGUGUCAAAUCACUGGUAGCUGGAGCUGGUUUGUUCCUGAUGCAGUUAACUGCUGGGCUUAUGUCUUGAGUCUGUGUUGGCCUUUUAGUGGGUAGGGCAUGGGCCCACACUGCCCCAUGGCAAGGUCUUGCCUGCUGGUGGGGAUGUUCAGAUUGUGAUUUUCUUAUGGCUGAUGUCUGUCCACUGGUGGGUAGAGCUGGGCUCAAGGCUGGAGCAGGCUCACUGAUGGGCAGCUCUACAGCCCAGCCAGUCCCAAGGCAGGGUCUGGCCUGCUGGUAUGUAGGCUGUAUCUUCAGAUACAGACUGCAAUUUCUUUGUGGCUGCUGUCUGGCUCCUGUUAGGUGGAGCAGGGCCUGAAGCUACAACAGCCUUGCAUUUGGAUGUGGCUGCAUUCUAUGGAUUAUGGAGCUGGUGCUUGCUCACUAGUGGGUGGAAGCUGAAUCCUGUAGUCUGUAGUCUGUGGCUGGAGGGCCCUGGAGGUCUCAGAUCUAGUGCCUGUGCACUAGUUUGUAGCCUGUAUCCUGGGCCCUCUGGUGAGCAGGGCCAUGUCCAAAGGUACCUGUGGGCUUAGCGAGUUAUAAACCAGCCUGUUUUCCGGUUGUUGGAGCCAUGUCCAUGCCUAGUUAGUAGUUUGGCCUUGGGCAUCUCAGCACUGGCCCAAGGGUGCACCUGGGUCCUGGUGCUUAUAAGCUAGAGGGAAUUCCAAAAUGACUCUGUGAGCACCAGAGUCCAUGUGGUAGAACAAGCUCCCAAAAAAUGUUUGCACCAUUUUCUGUGUCCCUAGGUGAGCUGCAGUUGCCUUCUGCCUCUUAGGGAGAUGCCCCAGGACAGAGGAGGAUUAGGUCUAACCCGGGGACCUAUCAAAUUACUGCUUCUGGCCAGAAUUCCAGAGCAGGUGAGAUUUUAUGUGCAUCCCUUAAGAGUGAAAUCUCAUAGAGAACAGACUUGUGAUUGCCAAGGGGGAGUGGGGAGGGAGGAAUGGGAUGGAUGGGGGGGUCUAGGGUUAGUAGAUGCAAACUAAUACAUUUAAAAUGGAUAAACCAUAAGGUCUUACUGUAUAGCAUAGGGAACUAUAUCCAAUUUCCUGGGGCAGACUGUGAUGGAAAAUAAUAGGAAAAUGCCUGUGUGUGUAUGUAUGUAUGUGAGUCAUUUUUCUGUACAACAGAAAUUGGCACAACAUUGUAAAUCAACUGUACUGCCAAAAAAAUUUUUAAUGAAAUCUCUUUCCCUCAGCCCUUUGGGAUUUCUGAAAUUAAGCCUUUCUGGCCUUCAAAGCCAAAUGCUUUGGAGGCUUGUCUUCCCCGUGCAGAACUUCUGGUCUAGAAAGUCUGACAUGGGGCUCGGAUCUCUCACUCCUUUGGGAAAGCCACAGAAUUAUUCUGCUGUUUGUAAAUCGCCUACUUGGGUGUAUGGAAUUUGACCAUAUAGCAACUCCACCCCUUCUACCUACCUCAUUGUGGUUCCUCCUUUAUAUCUUUAGUUGUAGGAGAUCUUUCUUCAUCAGUUCUGGUCUUUUUCAUUGAUGGUUGUUCUGCAGAUAGUUGUGAUUUUGGUGUGCCGGUAAGCAUAGUUGAGCUCAGGGUCUUUCUACUCCACCAUCUUAUGCAGUAAUCCGGGAGUAAAUAUUUUUGAUAGUGUGCUGUGUAUCUUUAAAUAGACCUCAUAUUUGUUCAUAGAAGAAGGAAUUGGAUGUGUUUCAUCUCUGCGUUUUUUUUUUGUUUUUGUUUUUGUUUUUUGAGCCCACCCUGUACAUUUUUAUUUGAUUUGCAUAAAAGGUGUUGUAGAGAAUAUAGUAUUUAGGUUAAAAUAGGGAAUAAAGCAGCCCUAUAAAGAAUGGGACAAAGGAAUAUAAACCUCUGGGCUAGAAAUGACAAGUUAAAAAUAAAAUUUUACGUAUUUUUAAGACUGCUUUGAUAGGUAAUAAAGAAAGGUAACAGUAUUUAGAAUGGUCAGGAACAGAAGUGUCUUUUUAUUAUUGGUUCAAUUUUAUGUUUUCACUCUC
rnacentral:lncRNA from 1 species